AUGCGUCGUCGCCUCCUACAGACACAUCCUGGUUACCAGACUUCUCUGGGACUUCUCUCUGUCACCCGGCCUGCCUUGGAUCACUCUGCUGGUCCUUCCAGAGGGGUCACAGCACGAUGGCGUCCACCUGCUGGAGAAGAGUGGAAGCAGGCAGACCGUGGGGUUCACUGCAUACCUGCUGUGUGGAGAGUGUUGUACUGGAUGCCUGUAAGCUCAUCCUCUAGACUAAGGCAGGGGAAGCGAGAGAAAACUCAGCCGGAACGAUGGGAGAGCAGCCUGUCGACAGACCCAUCGCCCUUCUGGCUCUCCCUACCUGUGACUCGUGGGUGUCCAAUGCAGAGGCGGCAGUCGAGGGGUCCGUCCUCCUGUUGGGAGACAAAAGAAGAUCAGCCCCCUCCCCGCACCCUUCCCUCACCCCUCGGAUUUGGGGGUGGGGGGACGGGACGAGGAGGGGAGGGGGAGGUGUUGAGAGCUUAGGGCCUCUUGGAUGCUGAUGCCCCUCCCUCCUUGCUCCUCCCCCCUCCCCCCUCGCUCCUCCCCUCUCCCCUCCCUCUUCCCUCUUCCCUCCUCUUCCUCCUCCUCCUCCCUUCCUCCUCCUCCUCCUCCUCCUCCUCCAUUCCUCCUCCUCUUCCUCCCUCCCUCCUCCUCCUCCCUCCCUCCUCCUCCUCCUCCCCGCCGGCGACCGGAUCGCCUCGCCUAUCUCCCGCCCGGAGAGGAGCCGCCCGAGGACGCGGUGUGUGUGUGUAUUGUGUGUGUGUGUGUUGUGCAUGUGUGUGUGUGUGUAUGUGUGUCUGCGAUGUCGAGGGAGCUUGGGGGAUGGACGGGUCUGCGAGAAGUGAGUUGGUCUCCGAGACGCCGGGCUUGCCGUGGGCGCUGAAUCCCCGCCGCCCCGUCCCAGCCGGACCCCAAUAUUAGAAAGGGAGCGAGGAGGAUUGGGGGCGGUGGGGGGUGGGCAAGGAGGGCAGGGGGCAGGGUCCCGGCCGGACAGACGGACGGACCGAGGGACGGGCAGGAAAGGCAACGGGGGAGACCCCGGGGGCGAAGGAACCACCAACUGGACGCCAAGUUGCUCGCCCUCCUCCGUCCACGCUCAGGAAUGAAACCUUUGGAGCUCGGUCUGCUCCUGCUUGGCGCCUUCCUGCUCAGCCCAGGUAGGGUCUGGGCACACGCUUCGGGGGGCGGGGUGGGGGG
rnacentral:lncRNA from 1 species